UACGUAGGGUGCAAGCGUUGUCCGGAAUUAUUGGGCGUAAAGAGCUCGUAGGCGGCUUGUUGCGUCGGCUGUGAAAUCCCGAGGCUCAACCUCGGGUCUGCAGUCGAUACGAGCAAACUAGAGUGUUGCAGGGGAGACUGGAAUUCCUGGUGUAGCGGUGGAAUGCGCAGAUAUCAGGAGGAACACCAAUAGCGAAGGCAGCUCGCUGGGACGUUACUGACACUGAGGCGCGAAAGCGUGGGGAGCGAACAGG
rnacentral:rRNA from 1 species